UACGUAGGGUGCGAGCGUUGUCCGGAAUUAUUGGGCGUAAAGGGCUCGUAGGCGGUUUGUCACGUCAGGAGUGAAAACUCGGGGCUCAACCCCGAGCCUGCUUCUGAUACGGGCAGACUAGAGGUAUGCAGGGGAGAACGGAAUUCCUGGUGUAGCGGUGAAAAUGCGCAGAUAUCAGGAGGAACACCGGUGGCGAAGGCGGUCUCUGGCAUACCUGACGCUGAGGAGCGAAAGUGUGGGGAGCGAACAGG
rnacentral:rRNA from 1 species